rnacentral:lncRNA from 1 species
UGCUAAUUGGUUGAAAAUCUGGAACUUCCACUUGUCGCAAAUUAUAUUCAGCAGAAUUCAGCAGCAGAACAUUCCACACGCUCCAAUUACAGAUUUAGGCAGCAAAUAAAAAAUAUAGAUGACUCGCUGACAAUUUCUGGCUACAUUCGAUCGCCGCGUGUGACGGAAGCCGAUAUACAGUAUAAUACAUCAAUGGCAUCAAUCUGACUUAGCAACAUUCGAGUAACCAAAAACGGAAAAUUAAAAAAAAAGUAUUUAUAUCUCGAACUUCGUGCUUUUCGCAUCUGACUGUAUUCAAUACUUUAAUAGAGUAUAGCCUCCAGCAGAAAAACUCUUGGA